rnacentral:rRNA from 1 species
UGCCCACCACUUGGGGAUAACCUUGCGAAAGUAAGACUAAUACCCAAUGACGUCUCUAGAAGACAUCUGAAAAGAGAUUUAAAGAUUUAUCGGUGAUGGAUGGGGAUGCGUCUGAUUAGCUUGUUGGCGGGUAACGCCCACCAAGGCGACGAUCAGUAGGGGUUCUGAGAGGAAGGUCCCCCACAUUGGAACUGAGACACGGUCCAAACUCCUACGGGAGGCAGCAGUGAGGAAUAUUGGUCAAUGGGCGAGAGCCUGAACCAGCCAAGUAGCGUGCAGGAUGACGGCCCUAUGGGUUGUAAACUGCUUUUAUAAGGGAAUAAAGUGGGAGUCGUGACUCUUUUUGCAUGUACCUUAUGAAUAAGGACCGGCUAAUUCCGUG